AUGUGUAAUGUGACAAAUAUUGCACAUGGUUCUUUUUUUCUCCGCAGACAUGGUUCAUUUAGGAUAACUUUGUUUGAUGUCACAGAGAUUGCACGAGGUUUUGUACCCAAACUUUGUGGAAUGCCAUAUAUGAAUUAUUACACGGUAUUUUUUCCCAAGGAGAUAACAACCAUGGAUUUUCCAUGGAUGAUGAAAAUACUUUUCUUGGUAUGUCUCCUUGACUGCAAUGGUAUCAUAACUCGAGCUGACCUACCAUCCCAAACACCACCAACCUUCAUUUGUCUAAAUAGAGAGUUCCUCCCCCUCCCGCUCCGCCACCUAUAUAUUCUACCUCAUAUUUACUUGAGCAUGGUAGAAAGCAUCAUAUGUUAUUGUUUCACGCCUCGCUUUUUCUAUCAAAACUCUUCCAUUUGA
rnacentral:rRNA from 1 species